rnacentral:rRNA from 1 species
UACAGAGGGUGCAAGCGUUGUUCGGAAUUAUUGGGCGUAAAGGGCGCGUAGGCGGUGCGGUAAGUCUGUAGUGAAAUCUCUGGGCUCAACUCAGAGUCUGCUGCAGAAACUGCCGUGCUUGAGUGUGGGAGAGGUGAGUGGAAUUCCCGGUGUAGCGGUGAAAUGCGUAGAUAUCGGAAGGAACACCUGUGGCGAAAGCGGCUCACUGGACCAUUACUGACGCUGAGGCACGAAAGCUAGGGGAGCAAACAGG